rnacentral:rRNA from 1 species
UUACGACUACAUAUCAGGCAUAUCAAUAAGCGGAGGAAAAGAAACUAACAAGGAUUCCCUUAGUAACGGCGAGUGAAGCGGGAAGAGCUCAAAUUUGAAAUCUUCAAGGUUCUACCUUGACGAAUUGUAGUUUAAAGAAGUGUUUUCUGUUAGAUGAGUAGCAAAAGUUCCUUGGAGUGGGACAUCAUAGAGGGUGAGAAUCCCGUAUUUGGUUAUUCAUUCUAGCUUUGUGAUACACUUUCAAAGAGUCGGAUUGUUUGGGAAUGCAGUCCAAAAUGGGUGGUAAAUUUCAUCUAAAGCUAAAUAUUGGCGAGAGACCGAUAGCGAACAAGUACCGUGAGGGAAAGAUGAAAAGAACUUUGAAAAGAGAUGUUAAACAGUACGUGAAAUUGUCAAAAGGGAAGCGUUUGACACCAGUGUUGUUUUUCCAAAAAUCAAUUACGAAUGGCUUGAUUUUGUGUUGUAUUGACCUUAUCAGCUUUCUGCACUUUUUUCGAGUCUUUCUUAAUGCACUUUUCGGUUAACAAGUCAACAUCAAUUUCUUUUGUUGCUAAAAGAGUAUUCGGAAGGUGGCUUUCUUUUCGGAGAAAGUGUUUAUAGCCCUAUACUUCUACAAUCGGAGAGAUUGAGGUCUGCAGCGUAGAUCCUUCGGGGUUAGAUACACUUGUGCUAAGUUGUAGCUUCUCAUAGACAACUUGUUGACUAUGCUCAGUCAUGUAGCUUACUCGCUGAUGCUAUUUUACCUACGCUUAGGAUGUUGAGUAGCGACAUACGCAC